GCCUGGCAUGGUGGUGCACGCCUGUAAUCCCAGUGGCUUGGGAGGCUAAGGCAAGAGGAUUGCAAGUUCAAAGCCAGUCUCAGCAAAUUAGUGAGGCCCUGAGCAACUUAGUGAGACCUUGUCUCCA
rnacentral:sRNA from 1 species